rnacentral:rRNA from 1 species
GACGAGGGAUCCUAGCGUUGUUCGGAAUCAUUGGGCGUAAAGCGGGUGCAUGUGGCUUUGUAAGUCAGGUGUGAAAGCCCAGGGCUCAACCCUGGAAGUGCAUUUGAUACUGCGAAGCUUGAGUGCUGGAGAGGUAAGUAGAAUUCCUGGUGUAGUGGUGAAAUACGUAGAUAUCAGGAGGAAUACCGGAGGCGAAGGCGGCUUACUGGCCAGACACUGACACUCAGACCCGAAAGCGUGGGGAUCAAACAGG